AAAGUUCUAUAGAAUAAGAUAAUGGAAUCUCUGUAACAGUUUGCCCCCGAAACAGUAAAUAGUCUAGCGAUUUGCUUUGUUGUGAUUAUCUUCUAUGGUUUAGUUGAUUUGGUGAUAUUUUAACAUUCAGUUGUGUUAUGGCACGAAAAUAAGGAACUUGUGUGGAUAAGGUUCUCUGUGCACCAAGACGGGGUGCAAAGUUCUAUAGAAUAAGAUAAUGGAUCUCUGUAACAGUUUGCCCCCGAAACAGUAAAUAGUCUAGCGAUUUGCUUUGUUGUGAUUAUCUUCUAUGGUUUAGUUGAUUUGGUGAUAUUUUAACAUUCAGUUGUGUUAUGGCACGAAAAUAAGGAACUUGUGUGGAUAAGGUUCUCUGUGCACCAAGACGGGGUGCAAAGUUCUAUAGAAUAGGAUAAUGGAAUCUCUGUAACAGUUUGCCCCCGAAACAGUAAAUAGUCUAGCGAUUUGCUUUGUUGUGAUUAUCUUCUAUGGUUUAGUUGAUUUGGUGAUAUUUUAACAUUCAGUUGUGUUAUGGCACGAAAAUAAAGAACUUGUGUGGAUAAGGUUCUCUGUGCACCAAGACGGGGUGCAAAGUUCUAUAGAUUAAGGUAAUGAACUCUCUGUAACAGUUUGCCCCCGAAACAGUAAAUAGUCUAGCGAUUUGCUUUGUUGUGAUUAUCUUCUAUGGUUUAGUUGAUUUGGUGAUAUUUUAACAUUCAGUUGUGUUAUGGCACGAAAAUAAGGAACUUGUGUGGAUAAGGUUCUCUGUGCACCAGGACGGGGUGCAAGGUUCUAUAGAAUAGGAUAAUGGACUCUCUGUAACAGUUUGCCCCCGAAACAGUAAAUAGUCUAGCGAUUUGCUUUGUUGUGAUUAUCUUCUAUGGUUUAGUUGAUUUGGUGAUAUUUUAACAUUCAGUUGUGUUAUGGCACGAAAAUAAGGAACUUGUGUGGAUAAGGUUCUCUGUGCACCAGGACGGGGUGCAAGGUUCUAUAGAAUAGGAUAAUGGACUCUCUGUAACAGUUUGCCCCCGAAACAGUAAAUAGUCUAGCGAUUUGCUUUGUUGUGAUUAUCUUCUAUGGUUUAGUUGAUUUGGUGAUAUUUUAACAUUCAGUUGUGUUAUGGCACGAAAAUAAGGAACUUGUGUGGAUAAGGUUCUCUGUGCACCAGGACGGGGUGCAAGGUUCUAUAGAAUAGGAUAAUGGACUCUCUGUAACAGUUUGCCCCCGAAACAGUAAAUAGUCUAGCGAUUUGCUUUGUUGUGAUUAUCUUCUAUGGUUUAGUUGAUUUGGUGAUAUUUUAACAUUCAGUUGUGUUAUGGCACGAAAAUAAGGAACUUGUGUGGAUAAGGUUCUCUGUGCACCAGGACGGGGUGCAAGGUUCUAUAGAAUAGGAUAAUGGACUCUCUGUAACAGUUUGCCCCCGAAACAGUAAAUAGUCUAGCGAUUUGCUUUGUUGUGAUUAUCUUCUAUGGUUUAGUUGAUUUGGUGAUAUUUUAACAUUCAGUUGUGUUAUGGCACGAAAAUAAGGAACUUGUGUGGAUAAGGUUCUCUGUGCACCAGGACGGGGUGCAAGGUUCUAUAGAAUAGGAUAAUGGACUCUCUGUAACAGUUUGCCCCCGAAACAGUAAAUAGUCUAGCGAUUUGCUUUGUUGUGAUUAUCUUCUAUGGUUUAGUUGAUUUGGUGAUAUUUUAACAUUCAGUUGUGUUAUGGCACGAAAAUAAGGAACUUGUGUGGAUAAGGUUCUCUGUGCACCAGGACGGGGUGCAAGGUUCUAUAGAAUAGGAUAAUGGACUCUCUGUAACAGUUUGCCCCCGAAACAGUAAAUAGUCUAGCGAUUUGCUUUGUUGUGAUUAUCUUCUAUGGUUUAGUUGAUUUGGUGAUAUUUUAACAUUCAGUUGUGUUAUGGCACGAAAAUAAGGAACUUGUGUGGAUAAGGUUCUCUGUGCACCAGGACGGGGUGCAAGGUUCUAUAGAAUAGGAUAAUGGACUCUCUGUAACAGUUUGCCCCCGAAACAGUAAAUAGUCUAGCGAUUUGCUUUGUUGUGAUUAUCUUCUAUGGUUUAGUUGAUUUGGUGAUAUUUUAACAUUCAGUUGUGUUAUGGCACGAAAAUAAGGAACUUGUGUGGAUAAGGUUCUCUGUGCACCAGGACGGGGUGCAAGGUUCUAUAGAAUAGGAUAAUGGACUCUCUGUAACAGUUUGCCCCCGAAACAGUAAAUAGUCUAGCGAUUUGCUUUGUUGUGAUUAUCUUCUAUGGUUUAGUUGAUUUGGUGAUAUUUUAACAUUCAGUUGUGUUAUGGCACGAAAAUAAGGAACUUGUGUGGAUAAGGUUCUCUGUGCACCAGGACGGGGUGCAAGGUUCUAUAGAAUAGGAUAAUGGACUCUCUGUAACAGUUUGCCCCCGAAACAGUAAAUAGUCUAGCGAUUUGCUUUGUUGUGAUUAUCUUCUAUGGUUUAGUUGAUUUGGUGAUAUUUUAACAUUCAGUUGUGUUAUGGCACGAAAAUAAGGAACUUGUGUGGAUAAGGUUCUCUGUGCACCAGGACGGGGUGCAAAGGUUCUAUAGAAUAGGAUAAUGGACUCUCUGUAACAGUUUGCCCCCGAAACAGUAAAUAGUCUAGCGAUUUUGCUAUGUUGUGAUUAUCUUCUAUGGUUUAGUUGAUUUGGUGAUAUUUUAACAUUCAGUUGUGUUAUCCGUUAAACCCUAGUUAUUUAUUAAAAUUUUAUUU